AGCUUUGCACAGUGGCAGUAUCGUAGCCAAUGAGGGCUAUUCGAGGUGCGAUUAUUGCUAAUUGAAAACACACUAAAAGGAACUAAGAAUUCAUUAAGUUAGUUAAAGUAUUAA
ensembl:snRNA U4 U4 spliceosomal RNA